GAGCAACUGCCGUCACUGGAAUCCAUUUCUCGAGAUACAUUAUGACAGGGUUGGUUCAGAUGGGGGUUUUAGCUACAAAGAGAUCACCGUACUAUAUGUCCCCGAUUUAUCAGAAUGUCUUCCUUCCUCUGAUGCAUGGAGAACCCAAUGGUUGGCACUCAGGAAAGCUCUUACUGAGAGAGAUCGGCUACUCUCUCAGGAGGUU